UUACUGACUUUGCUGUACGCCAUGACUGUCGGGAGGAUGUCCAGCGUUAUGUAUACACUAUUAUCUUCCGGUACCUUGGUGGUGUUGCACAUCGGGCCAAUACUAGCACAGUCGAUGCAUCUGUGGCAAAGAUCCGCAAAAAUGUUGGAAUGAGAGAGUGCCAGGUGCGCAUAAUGAGGUCUAACCUGAGUUUCCUCCAAAGUGGGACAAAUUGCGGGCCAUUUUGCCUGGGUCACCCUGAUUUUACAGAGAAUGCUUGCAACCAGAAUCAUCACAAACUUGAUCAAGUUACACAAACGCUCAUGUAUUUACAUGUGUAGUCUUAACAUCAACUCAGGCUAAUGACUAAGUAUGUUUACGCUGGAGAAGCCUUCAGAUGAGCUAGAGACAUCAGAAGAGCGGGAUUAAGUAGUUGGAGAGCAUGAACACUCUGAGACAGCUGCAGGUGAACCUGUUCAAGGAUCGCUGGGGACACCUGCAGAUGAGCUAAGACAGCAGAGACCCGGAUGAGGUAUAUGGAGAGCGUGAACAGUCUGUAACAGCUGCAGAUGAACAAGUUCAAGUAACGCUGGGGACACCUUCAGAUGAGCUAGAGACAGCAAAAGACCAGGUUGGGGUUGGUGGAGAGUGUGAACAGUUGGAGACAGCUGCAGGUGAACAAGUUCAAGUGACGUUGGAGACAGCAAAAGACUCAAAUGAGUAAGUUGGAGAGCAUGAACACUCUUGAGACAGCUGCAGGUGAACAAGUUAAAGUAACACUGGAGACACCUGCAGAUGAGCUAGAGACAUCAGAAGACCAGGGUUAGGUGCGUUGAAAGCAUGAAUAGCCGAAGACAGCUGGAGGUAAACCUGUCCAAGGAACGCUGGAUACACUUACAGAUGAGCUAGGCACAGCAGAAGAUCAGGGCGGGGUAAGUGGAUGCAAGUUGGGAAGAUUUAGAAGAAAUCAACACACUUCAAGGCAGCUUCGUUCCAGAAGACGACUGUGUUAGAAAUUAAAUACAUUUAUUUUGUGUUAUCCAAUGAUAAGUAAUUAUAUUUAAAUUGCUUGAUUGGUUGCUUGGUUUGGUUGUUUGUUUGUGUGAUUAUAUAUUUAUUUAUUUAUUUUCUUGUUUUGAUAAAA